rnacentral:rRNA from 1 species
AACAAACGCUGGCGGCGUGCCUAAUACAUGCAAGUCGAACGAGGAAAGCUUUCGGGUGAGUACUAGUGGCGCACGGGUGAGGAAUACAUGGGUAAUCUGCCCUCGAGUUGGGGAUAACCAGUCGAAAGAUUGGCUAAUACCGGAUAAGACCACAGGAACUGAGGUUCUAGGGGUUAAAGGUUUUUCGCUUGAGGAUGAGCCCAUGUGGGAUUAGCUAGUUGGUGAGGUAAUGGCUCACCAAGGCGACGAUCCCUAACUGGUCUUAGAGGAUGAUCAGUCACACUGGAACUGAGACACGGACCAGACUCCUACGGGAGGCAGCAGUAGGGAAUAUUGCACAAUGGAGGAAACUCUGAUGCAGCGACGCCGCGUGAGUGAUGAAGGCCUUCGGGUCGUAAAGCUCUGUCGUAUGGGACUAACACAAUGAAGGUACCAUGCAAGAAAGGAUCGGCUAACUUCGUGCCAGCCGCCGCCGUAACAC